AAUCCUGAAGCAGCAACGCCGCGUGGAGGAUGAAGGGUCUAUGACUUGUAAACUCCUGUAAAGAAGGCAAAAAUUCCCAUUUGAUGGGAGAUGAUGGUACUUCUGGAGUAAGCCCCGGCUAACUACGUGCCAGCAGCCGCGGUAAUACGUAGGGGGCAAGCGUUGUCCGGAUUUACUGGGAGUAAAGGGUGCUCAGGCGGAUGUGUACGUCAGAGGUGAAAUCUUACAGCUUAACUGGGAAACUGCCUUUGAGACUGCAAGCCUAGAGUAUGGAAGAGAGUGAUGGAAUAUCUGGUGUAGCAGUGAAAUGCGUAGAUAUCAGAUAGAACACCAAUGGCGAAGGCAGCCACUUGGUCCAUUACUGACGCUAAAGCA
rnacentral:rRNA from 1 species